rnacentral:rRNA from 1 species
UACGGAGGGUGCAAGCGUUGCUCGGAAUCACUGGGCGUAAAGCGGGCGCAGGCGGUCCAGCAAGUCGGGUGUGAAAGCCCGGGGCUCAACCCCGGAAAUGCAUUCGAAACUGCCGGACUAGAGUACGGGAGAGGGGAGCGGAAUUCCUGGUGUAGAGGUGAAAUUCGUAGAUAUCAGGAGGAACACCGGUGGCGAAAGCGGCUCCCUGGUCCGAUACUGACGCUCAUGCCCGAAAGCGUGGGUAGCAAACAGG